rnacentral:rRNA from 1 species
UACGGAGGAUGCAAUCGUUAUCCGGAAUGAUUGGGCGUAAAGCGUCCGCAGGUGGCAAUGUAAGUCUGCUGUCAAAGCGUCUGGCUCAACCAGAUAAAGGCAGUGGAAACUACAUAGCUAGAGUAAGGUAGGGGUAGAGGGAAUUCCCGGUGUAGUGGUGAAAUGCGUAGAGAUCGGGAGGAACACCAGAGGCGAAAGCGGUUAACUGGGUCUAAACUGACGCUGAGGCGCGAAGGCUAGGGGAGCAAACAGG